rnacentral:rRNA from 1 species
CGAGUGAACGCUGGCGGUAGGCCUAACACAUGCAAGUCGAACGGCAGCACGGCAGAGCUUGCUCUGUGGGUGGCGAGUGGCGGACGGGUGAGGAAUACAUGGGAAUCUGCCCAGUCGUGGGGGAUAACGUAGGGAAACUUACGCUAAUACCGCAUGCGCCCUUCGGGGGAAAGCCGGGGACCUUCGGGCCUGGCGCGAUUGGAUGAGCCCAUGUCGGAUUAGCUAGUUGGCGGGGUAAUGGCCCACCAAGGCGACGAUCCGUAGCUGGUCUGAGAGGAUGAUCAGCCACACUGGAACUGAGACACGGUCCAGACUCCUACGGGAGGCAGCAGUAGGGAAUAUUGGACAAUGGGCGCAAGCCUGAUCCAGCCAUGCCGCGUGAGUGAAGAAGGCCCUCGGGUUGUAAAGCUCUUUUGUCCGGAAAGAAAAGCGCCGGGUUAAUACCCUGGUGUCCUGACGGUACCGGAAGAAUAAGCACCGGCUAACUUCGUG